rnacentral:rRNA from 1 species
CCUACGGGAGGCAGCAGUGGGGAAUUUUGGACAAUGGGCGCAAGCCUGAUCCAGCCAUGCCGCGUGCGGGAAGAAGGCCUUCGGGUUGUAAACCGCUUUUGUCAGGGAAGAAAUCCUUUGGGUUAAUACCUCGGAGGGAUGACGGUACCUGAAGAAUAAGCACCGGCUAACUACGUGCCAGCAGCCGCGGUAAUACGUAGGGUGCGAGCGUUAAUCGGAAUUACUGGGCGUAAAGCGUGCGCAGGCGGUUAUGCAAGACAGAUGUGAAAUCCCCGGGCUCAACCUGGGAACUGCAUUUGUGACUGCAUAGCUAGAGUACGGUAGAGGGGGAUGGAAUUCCGCGUGUAGCAGUGAAAUGCGUAGAUAUGCGGAGGAACACCGAUGGCGAAGGCAAUCCCCUGGACCUGUACUGACGCUCAUGCACGAAAGCGUGGGGAGCAAACAGGAUUAGAUACCCUGGUAGUCCACGCCCUAAACGAUGUCAACUGGUUGUUGGACGGCUUGCUGUUCAGUAACGAAGCUAACGCGUGAAGUUGACCGCCUGGGGAAUCGGCCGCAAGGUUGAAACUUAAGGAAUUGACGGCNGAGACGUAGCGACGGACGACGACGAGGGAGGAGG